rnacentral:rRNA from 1 species
CCAAUCGAACCCGGAGAUAGCUGGUUCUCCUCGAAAUAGCUUUAGGGCUAGCCUCGUUUUAGUCUUAUGGAGGUAGAGCACUGAAUUUCCGCGGGGGCGUCAAAGCUUACCAAAGAAUAUCAAACUCCGAAUGCCAUGUAGAUGAUGAACGGGAGUCAGACUGCACGAGAUAAGUUGGGCGGUCAAAAGGGAAAGAGCCCAGACCACCGGCUAAGGUCCCAAAGUGUGUGUUAAGUGGAAAAGGAUGUGGGAAUUCGAAGACAACUAGGAUGUUGGCUCAGAAGCAGCCAUACAUUCAAAGAGUGCGUAACAGCUCACUAGUCGAGAGUCCCUGCGCCGAAAAUGUCCGGGGCUGAAACACAACACCGAAGCCGUGGACUCCGUAAGGAGUGGUAGAGGAGCAUUCUUAAAACCGACGAAGCUGUACCGGUAAGGAGCAGUGGAGGGAUAAGAAGAGAGAAUGCCGGAAUGAGUAGCGAGAGGAAGGUGGGAAUCCUUCCGGCCGAAUAUCUAAGGUUUCCAGAGUAAAGCUGAUCUGCUCUGGGUAAGUCGGGGCCUAAGGAGAGGUCGCAAGACGUAUCCGAUGGACAACAGGUUUAGAUUCCUGUACCGCAUAUAAACAGAACUGUGGGGACGCAUGUGGAAAGCAUAAGCCGGGAAUGGAAAGACCGGUACAAGCGGGGUAGGUGUGUGACAGGCAAAUCCGUCACAUAAGCCGAAGACGUAAUGUGGAGCGAAAUUUAGUAGUGAAGUAUGUGAGCCAUGUGCCGAGAAAAGCCGCUAUUGUUUUAUAUGUGCCCGUACCGUAAACCGACACAGGUGGAUGAGGAGAGAAUCCUAAGGCCGACGGAAGAAGCAUUGUUAAGGAAUUCGGCAAAAUGACCCCGUAACUUCGGGAGAAGGGGUGCCCACUGAAUGGUGGGCCGCAGAGAAUAGGCUCAAGCAACUGUUUAGCAAAAACACAGGUCUAUGCGAAACCGAAAGGUGAAGUAUAUGGGCUGACGCCUGCCCGGUGCUGGAAGGUUAAGAGGAGAGGUUAGCGCAAGCGAAGCUUUGAAUUUAAGCCCCAGUAAACGGCGGCCGUAACAAUAACGGUCCUAAGGUAGCGAAAUUCCUUGUCGGGUAAGUUCCGACCCGCACGAAAGGCGUAAUGAUUUGAGCACUGUCUCGACAAUGCAUCCGGUGAAAUUGAAGUACCAGUGAAGAUGCUGGUUACCCGCGCCAGGACGGAAAGACCCCAUGGAGCUUUACUCCAGUUUG